rnacentral:rRNA from 1 species
AUGCAAUUACACCAAGACAUCUUACUAUGCAAAACUUGUUUGCAAGUGUCGAGGGAUCCAUCCGUUGGAGGUGAUCAAACUAGAGAUGCUUAUUGGCUUCGGAUGAAGGAACACUUUGAUGUUCGCAACGAGAGUGGAAUGGACCGCUCCGAUCGAUCUCUUCGCUCCCGGUGGUCGACAAUCAACAAGGAUUGUCAAAAGUGGGCGGCCGCACAAAAGGCGGUUGACAAGUUGACCCCAAGUGGCACUAAUGAGGACGAUAGAUACAAUAUUCCACAAAACCUGUUCAAAGGAGAGGAGAAGAGGACCAAGAAGGGGAAGAUCAAGAAAGGAAGUCCAUUUACCUUGCCUCAUUGCUUUGACGUUUUGAAGGAUGAUGAGAAAUGGAAGAAGCAUGAUGAUAUAGAUGAUUUGGAUUUGAGCGACAAAUGCAAGCGAACAAUUGAGUUGGAUGAUGAUGAUGAGGAGGAGGCAUCAAGUUAUGAUGGCAAGAGAAGCCCUACACCCAACUCGGUUUCAUAG